rnacentral:rRNA from 1 species
AGAGUUUGAUCCUGGCUCAGGACGAACGCUGGCGGCGUGCCUAACACAUGCAAGUCGAACGGAGAAUUUCAAGAUGUUUACAUGGCGAAAUUCUUAGUGGCGGACGGGNNNNNNNNNNNNNNNNNNNNNNNNNNNNNNNNNNNNNNNNNNNNNNNNNNAGUCGAACGGAGAAUUUCAAGAUGUUUACAUGGCGAAAUUCUUAGUGGCGGACGGGUGAGUAACGCGUGGGUAACCUACCCAUAAAGCCGGGACAACCCUUGGAAACGAGGGCUAAUACCGAAUAAUCUUAAGAGUUGGCAUCAGCUUUUAAGGAAAGGUGGCCUCUGUAUAUGCUACCGAUUAUGGAUGGACCCGCGUCUGAUUAGCUAGUUGGUGGGGUAAAGGCCUACCAAGGCGACGAUCAGUAGCCGACCUGAGAGGGUGAUCGGCCACACUGGAACUGAGAUACGGUCCAGACUCCUACGGGAGGCAGCAGUAGGGAAUCUUCCGCAAUGGACGAAAGUCUGACGGAGCAACGCCGCGUGUGUGAAGAAGGUCUUCGGGUCGUAAAACUCUGUCCUAAGGGAAGAAUAAGUGCCGCUGGCAAUGGGGGGCACCUUGACGGUACCUUGCGAGAAAGCCCCGGCUAACUACGUGCCAGCAGCCGCGGUAAUACGUAGGGGGCAAGCGUUGUCCGGAAUUAUUGGGCGUAAAGGGCGCGUAGGCGGCCUCUUAAGUCAGGAGUGAAAUUCCCCGGCUCAACCGGGGAGUUCAUUUGAAACUGACAAGCUUGAGUGCAAGAGAGGAAAGUGGAAUUCCACGUGUAGCGGUGAAAUGCGUAGAUAUGUGGAGGAACACCAGUGGCGAAGGCGACUUUCUGGACUGUAACUGACGCUGAGGCGCGAAAGCGUGGGGAGCAAACAGGAUUAGAUACCCUGGUAGUCCACGCUGUAAACGAUGAGUGCUAGGUGUAGAGGGUAUCGACCCCUUCUGUGCCGCAGUUAACACAAUAAGCACUCCGCCUGGGGAGUACGGCCGCAAGGUUGAAACUCAAAGGAAUUGACGGGGGCCCGCACAAGCGGUGGAGCAUGUGGUUUAAUUCGACGCAACGCGAAGAACCUUACCAGGGCUUGACAUCCUCCUAGUAUAAGGAAACUAGGGAGUGCCCUUCGGGGAGCGUAGAGACAGGUGGUGCAUGGUUGUCGUCAGCUCGUGUCGUGAGAUGUUGGGUUAAGUCCCGUAACGAGCGCAACCCCUAUGUUUAGUUACCAGCACAUUAAGGUGGGAACUCUAGCGAGACUGCCGGUGACAAACCGGAGGAAGGUGGGGAUGACGUCAAAUCAUCAUGCCCCUUAUGAGUUGGGCUACACACGUGCUACAAUGGCCGGUACAAAGAGUUGCGAAACCGCAAGGCGGAGCCAAUCCCAGAAAGCCGUUCUCAGUUCGGAUUGCAGGCUGCAACUCGCCUGCAUGAAGUCGGAAUCGCUAGUAAUCGCAGGUCAGCAUACUGCGGUGAAUACGUUCCCGGGUCUUGUACACACCGCCCGCCACACCACGAGAGUUUGUAACACCCGAAGUCGGUGAGGUAACCUUAGGGAGCCAGCCGCCGAAGGUGGGGUAGGUAAUUGGGGUGAAGUCGUAACAAGGUAACCA